CCAUCACCUUCCAGAAAUGUCUGGCGGCCUGCCUCCCCCUCUGCAAGGGGGCGGGUUGGAGGGUGUACAGAGUAUGGUAAUAUGGCGACAGUGUUGCUUGUGCGCUCGUCACCCCUGCGCCCCCUCAGUGACAGACCCCCACUUUGUUUGGGAUUCAAAUGGAAACGUACACAGAGAAGGUGGGCCCAGUGCCCGGGCAUGAAUCAUGAGGGUCUAGGGCGUGGACUCCAAGCCAUCUUGUGGUUAUGCCAUUCCUCUGUGCCAGCGUAAUCGCGGAGGUGAAUUCCGAGAUGGAUGAACGACCUGGUCAGCAGCUCAGGAGUGACUGGUCUGAGCUGAGUCCUGAAGGGUGCCUCGGGAACUGCGGUCUUCAGCCCCCCCCAAGCUCACAGAUCCAAAGGCACAAUUCACGAACCCGAAGUGACGUCCGUUCCUUUCCUCCACCCUGCCCAGCCUGCCAUGGGUGGCCGUUGUGACACCUUGCCCCCCCAUCUGCAUCCUCUGCUGCCGCAGCCUUGUUCCCCGAUACUCAGGCCCAGGGUCUUUGCUGUUCUCUCUGAUGCACGAGGCUGGCAGGGGUAGUUUGGAGGUGUGAACAGUGGGACUGCACAACAUCUGGAUGGUUUGUGGGCUCAGAG
rnacentral:lncRNA from 1 species